UGCGGCGCUAUCGCCAAAGCCCGGGCUCCCAGGGGUAACAGUGAAAUAAAAUGUGGACCAGCCUCGGAAAUCCCCGGAGCACUUGUUUCAUAACAUCACCCAAACUGAUUUCGUACAAAUGACUUGGAAUAUUGGGGAAAAAAAUUCAGUCAUCUUCCUAAUAUGGUCUGAGGCGGUGGCUGCUAACCAAUCCUCCGAAUUCUGGAAACCCCGGCUGUGAUAGCCAAUCGCUGGAAAGGUCAGCGGCUUCCUGUUUGUCCUCUUCAUAAGCCGCGCGUCCUGCAGCUCCCCAGAUCCUCUUCCUAUCAAGCAGGGUCUAAAUAGCCUUUCCAGGCCGUGGGCAGCAGAGAAGAGUCCGGUUGAACCCCAGUCCGUGGGUACCGCUCCUGGUGCCCCGGAGCCCCCAGGACCUGAGACUCGCCAGGCCUGACUGCAGGAUGACCCGGAGACCCCCUGUUCUUCGCCGGCGGGCACACGGCCUGCUCUCCAGGGGCACUGCUUGGUUCUCCGAGCUUUGCUGUUGCUUCUGCUACGUUGUUUCGGGCGGAAUGGUUGUGUGGGGUUGGACGACUUUUGGAGCAAACGCCCGCCUGUAAUUUCUGGGACGCCGUGCGCCCUGAUGAGCCCCGCGUGUCUCCAUUUCUCAUCAGCCGGUUUGCUUUGGGCUCCUCAGCCAGGACGGUGGAGAGGAUAAAGUCCCAGGCUGCUGGUACUGCCACAGGCCUUGUCUCCUGCAGAAGCUCCGAGGCUUGUGUCCCCCGGCUCAGAGGUCUCCGAGAUGGAGCAGCACUUUCUGGAGGCUGUGAAGCCAGCUUGGGAGUCCCGGGGGCGCCAUAGCCCCAGCCUCGGUGGAUGCUGGCCUCUGAAGACUUGGGGGCUUGGCUGCUGCUCCGACUACCUGGACCUCUGCAGUCCGUGUGAAUUUGUUCACCGCUUCCACAACACCCACUCUGCUGGCCAGAGUUGCAUCAUCUGGGGCCCAGGAACAGGGACCCAGGGUACGAGCCGCCAUUGUGGACAACACACCAACUUGACUGGAGUGUGUGCAUCAGCUCUGGUGAGGUCAGAUGACACCGAGUGCUUUUUGGUAAGGUUGCAGGGGGUGUUGGAUUUCAGAGAAAGAGACUCCUUCCACAGCUGCCCUGUCUUGAGGCCACUUUUUAUGUGUGCCCUCUGUAGUAAGCAGGAGCCUUGCUGUCCCUCCCAAGCAACUGCUGCAUUUCACGCGGGCAGGGGUCGAGCAGUUAAGAGCCACAAGGGUGCUCGCCACAAUAAAGGUGCUUGUGAGAGGAGAAGCUGGAACGUGCACCGGGACAGAACACCAGGUUGCCCGCCAGCUGCAAGCUAAAGCCCCCGAAUCGAGAGGCACCCUGUAACAGCAGGCACAAGCCCAUCCCCCCCCGCCCCCCCGCACAACCCCCAGUCAGGCUUUAGGCUUGGGAGAGAGAGCGAUGAAUUUCCCUUUCACUUGGCUCAAAUGAUACAAGCGCCUCAGCGCAUUCUUUCUUUACAAGCUGCUUUUUGCAGCCCUUUUGAUUUUGCCUUUUCCCUCCGCCUGCUGCCUGUAAACAGAAAAGCAGAUAGUGAAUGAGUGUUUCGGUUUUGACCGGACUCCGAAGAUGGCUUGUAGAACUCAGAGUUAGUUCCAGGGUUCUUCAUGAGUGUCUCGGCUUCCUGCUGAGCACCGAAGAUAAGAGGCAUUCCUCCCUCCGGCUUGAGAUCUCAGGCGUCCCUACGUGAGUGGGGGCCUUGCGGAGGUGUCUGGGGUCAAUCCCCGCGACGUGCAGGGGCCUCACAGGGAAUUCCAAUCACAGUCAUUUAACGCUGGGCUCAUCCAGGGAAGCGCGAUAUAAAGGUUGGUCACCUAGCGCUUCGAGCCCCCCCCUUGCAGUGUCAGACGCUUGGGGGAGAACCUGAGACCCAUAAGCGGGGUGAGGGUACUCCGGUACACCUCUCCCUGACGGUCUUCCACCAACAGCACAUUUCGACCCACUACACUCACCUCACUAGGAAGAAGUAGGAUUGAAAGGUGCAGGCGGAGAGAAAGCAAAACUCCAACUGGUUUUGUCAUCGCCGUGCUUGCGGCAGGAGGAAUUUCCAAAAAGUUUCUUUUAUUUCUUCAAAAGUUUCCUUGAAAGGUUUCUACGAAUCCCCUACCGUGGGGAACGGGCUCUAAGGAACCAGAGCACUGUUGUUGUCUAACUCAGCAGCUCUUUAAGGCUGGUGGACGUCUCCCAGAGAAGGGAUCUUUAGAUUUGGAACUAUGGGAAAAAGCAGGGCAGACAAGCCCUCAUGGUCAGGAAAGCUUAGACGAAAACCAAAGCCUCCACCUUAGGUCAGCCAGGGCCUUCCCAAAGGUCCCCCCAGCUGCAGGGAAUGUCCAGCCCUGCCCAGGUAGCCCAGCCUGGGGCGCGGGGGCGUGGGCACUUACAGCGUGGCUGGGGCCGCAGUGGGUGCCCACUCUGCUCCCAGUGCAGCGGGACCCAGUCUUUCUGCCAAGGACAGCGGCAGGGAGGGGGGUUGGUCCCCCUCGCCUGUUCUCUUCCCCUUGGGGGUUGGAUGACCUAUCCCAAUCCACAGGGUCUGCCCUCCCCCCAGGACACAGGUACCACACAGCACCUAGCCUGAGUGAGCACCUAGGAGCAGACUUAGAACUGGCCCAGACAGCAUGUCUCGAGGAGUUCCAGCCUGGUCAUAGCUGAGCUAAGGGGCAUUAUCUCCUCCCUUUGGGAGGCCUCCUCGAGGUUAGUUUUAGAAACAGGAUUUCUAUUUUGUUUACAUUUCUACAACUGAAAUGGGGUCAUUUCUCAAGCCUGAAAACAGGGGCUGUCAAAAGCUCCAUUCAUGAAAGGAACCUUGGAUGGCACUCUAAAAAGCUCCGGUCACAAAAGUAAUAAUGAAACCGCCUUCAAAAGAAAAGGACAC